GGCUUAUUGAUAAUAAUUUUAAGUCUGACCUGCCCAAUGAAUAGUUAAAUGGCCGCGGUAUUUUGACCGUGCAAAGGUAGCAUAAUCAUUAGUUUUUUAAUUGAAAGCUUGUAUGAAAGGUUUAAUGAAAAAAUUUCUGUCUCUAGGAAAAUUUAUUGGAAUUUUAUUUUUAAGUAAAAAAGCUUACAUAAUUAUAGAAGACGAGAAGACCCUAUAGAGUUUUAUAUUUAAAUAAAUAAAUAUUGUAAGGUUAGAUUAAGCGUUUAUUUAUUUAAAUAUUUUGUUGGGGUGAUAGAAAAAUUAAUAAAACUUUUUUUAAAAGAGAAAACAUUUAUUUAUGGGUUUAUGAUCCUUUAAUUUAGAUUACAAGAUUAAAUUACCUUAGGGAUAACAGCGUUAUAUUUUUUAGAGUUCUUAUCGAAAAAAAGGAUUGCGACCUCGAUGUUGGAUUAAAAGUAAUUAUUGGUGAAGAAGCUAAAUAAUUAGGUCUGUUCGACCUAUAAAAUUUUACAUGAUCUGAGUUUAGACCGGCGUGAG
rnacentral:rRNA from 1 species